GGAUGAAGAACGUAGCGAAAUGCGAUAAGUAAUGUGAAUUGCAGAAUUCAGUGAAUCAUCGAAUCUUUGAACGCACAUUGCGCCCGCCAGUAUUCUGGCGGGCAUGCCUGUUCGAGCGUCAUUACAACCCUCAGGCCCCCGGGCCUGGCGUUGGGGAUCGGCGGAAGCCCCCUGCGGGCACAACGCCGUCCCCCAAAUACAGUGGCGGUCCCGCCGCAGCUUCCAUUGCGCAGUAGCUAACACCUCGCAACUGGAGAGCGGCGCGGCCACGCCGUAAAACACCCAACUUCUGAAUGUUGACCUCGAAUCAGGUAGGAAUACCCGCUGAACUUAAGCAUAUCAAUAAGCGGAGGA
rnacentral:misc_RNA from 1 species